CAGCCGCCGCGGUAAUACGGAGGGUGCAAGCGUUAAUCGGAAUUACUGGGCGUAAAGCGCACGCAGGCAGUUUGUUAAGUCAGAUGUGAAAUCCCCGGGCUCAACCUGGGAACUGCAUCUGAUACUGGCAAGCUUGAGUCUCGUAGAGGGGGGUAGAAUUCCAGGUGUAGCGGUGAAAUGCGUAGAGAUCUGGAGGAAUACCGGUGGCGAAGGCGGCCCCCUGGACGAAGACUGACGCUCAGGUGCGAAAGCGUGGGGAGCAAACAGGAUUAGAUACCCUGGUAGUCCACGCCGUAAACGAUGUCGACUUGGAGGUUGUGCCCUUGAGGCGUGGCUUCCGGAGCUAACGCGUUAAGUCGACCGCCUGGGGAGUACGGACGGCGAGGUUAAAACUCAAAUGAAUUGACGG
rnacentral:rRNA from 1 species